UACGUAGGGUGCAAGCGUUGUCCGGAAUUAUUGGGCGUAAAGAGCUCGUAGGCGGCUCUGUCGCGUCUGCUGUGAAAACUCAGGGCUUAACCCUGAGCUUGCAGUGGGUACGGGCAGACUAGAGUGCGGUAGGGGAGACUGGAAUUCCUGGUGUAGCGGUGAAAUGCGCAGAUAUCAGGAGGAACACCGGUGGCGAAGGCGGGUCUCUGGGCCGUAACUGGACGCUGGAGGAGCGAAAGCAUGGGGAGCGAACAGG
rnacentral:rRNA from 1 species